rnacentral:rRNA from 1 species
UGGGGAAUAUUGGACAAUGGGCGCAAGCCUGAUCCAGCCAUGCCGCGUGAGUGAUGAAGGCCCUAGGGUUGUAAAGCUCUUUCACCGGUGAAGAUAAUGACGGUAACCGGAGAAGAAGCCCCGGCUAACUUCGUGCCAGCAGCCGCGGUAAUACGAAGGGGGCUAGCGUUGUUCGGAUUUACUGGGCGUAAAGCGCACGUAGGCGGACUUUUAAGUCAGGGGUGAAAUCCCGGAGCUCAACCCCGGAACUGCCUUUGAUACUGGAAGUCUUGAGUAUGGUAGAGGUGAGUGGAAUUCCGAGUGUAGAGGUGAAAUUCGUAGAUAUUCGGAGGAACACCAGUGGCGAAGGCGGCUCACUGGACCAUUACUGACGCUGAGGUGCGAAAGCGUGGGGAGCAAACAGG